UAAAACGCCAUAUUGGGUAACACUUCUACCUCUCAUUCAUACCCGAAAAAUUUCAGCUAAAAUUUCUCCCCAAUUCUGAAAACCAAACCCUAUAACUCUGAAAAUAAAAAACUCAAAACACGUGUCUUCUCUACUUUUUUUUUUUUCCUUCCCCCAAAUCGCAAAAUCUCUCACUCCUCGACCAUACAAGCUUAUAUGGAUGGUUACCGAAGCUCAAUGGAAAGUUCUCCGUUGAAUCUUGCAACCCAACUCACUGAUAUGCCAACCACAAACUGAUGUUCGCUGGAAAAAGCUUUGGAAGCUCAAAUACCCUGAAAGGAUUAAGAGAAUUGCCUCUUCAGCUGCUUCGCUCAUACCGAAGAGUGGUGUGGGCAUGGGAGGUUCAUGGACAAGAGAAUCGUCUAAUACAGCUAUAUAGUUCAUCAAUAAGGCAAGGCCAUGAAUUACAUUGAUGGCUGUUGGCUGGGAAUAUGGUGCAAACAUGUUGACGAAGUACUUGGCAGAAGCUGGAGAGAAUACACCGCUUACAGUUGCCACGUGCAUAGACAAUCCAUUUGACUUAGAGGAGGCUACAAGGUCCUCUCCUUAUCACAUGGCCAUUGAUCAGAAGCUCACUAGUGGACUGAUAGAUAUUCUAAGAUCUAAUAAGUAUCUUCAAUCUUCAACUUUUUUUUAAAACAUCAUCAAAAUCAAAGUCCUGGGUUAGAAAGAUUUGGUGGGCAUGAGCAUAAUUUUCAAUCAAAGCUGUUUUCUAGGAACUAUUUCAAGGCAAAGCAAAAGGGUUUGACAUGGAGAAGGCUUUAUUGGCAAAGUCUAUUCAUGAUUUUGAAAAAGCAAUAUCUAUGGUAUCUUAGCACAAGGGACGUGGUUGGGAAUGUGAGCAAGCAAAGAAGAUUUAUAAAACUCAAUGUUUUAUGUUGAAUAAAUAUAUGAUGUACUCUUCUAUAUAAUGCAGAUUUGUUGUAUUAUGUUCUUUCUCUACUCUUUUUGAGUCAUUGCAAAAGAAUUUGACAUUGGUAACUAUAUUCUAUUUAUUUAUUAUGAAAAUAAGAUUGCGAUCAUUAUUGCAAUUUGAUUA